GAUGAAGAACGCAGCGAAAUGCGAUAAGUAUUGUGAAUUGCAGAAUUCAGUGAAUCAUCGAAUCUUUGAACGCACAUUGCGCCCCCUGGUAUUCCGGGGGGCAUGCCUGUCCGAGCGUCAUUACAACCCUCAAGCUCAGCUUGGUAUUGGGCCCCGCCGCUCCGGCGGGCCCUAAAGUCAGUGGCGGUGCCGUCCGGCUCCGAGCGUAGUAAUUCUUCUCGCUCUGGAGGUCCGGUCGUGUGCUCGCCAGCAACCCCCAAUUUUUUUCAGGUUGACCUCGGAUCAGGUAGGGAUACCCGCUGAACUUAAGCAUAUCAAUAAGCGGAGGA
rnacentral:misc_RNA from 1 species